rnacentral:rRNA from 1 species
AUUCCUACGGGAGGCAGCAGUGGGGAAUAUUGGACAAUGGGCCACAAGCCUGAUCCAGCAAUUCUGUGUGCACGAUGAAGGUCUUCGGAUUGUAAAGUGCUUUCAGUUGGGAAGAAGAAAGUGACGGUACCAACAGAAGAAGCGACGGCUAAAUACGUGCCAGCAGCCGCGGUAAUAAU